rnacentral:tRNA from 2 species
GCGAGGGUUGCCGAGCCUGGUCAAAGGCGCGGGCUUGAGGGGUCCGUCUCGUAGGAGUUCUAGGGUUCAAAUCCCUUCCCUCGCA